ACGGCGAGUGAGCGGGACUAGCUCAGGAUGUAAAUCUGCGCUGUAUGGCGCCGAAUUGUGGUCUGUAGACUUUGACGUUAUCUGCCGGGCCAAGUUCCUUGGAAAAGGACAGCUGAGAGGGUGAGACUCCCGUCCGCCUGGUAGAAUGAGUCAUGUGUCAACGAGUCGAGUUGUUUGGGAUUGCAGCUCUAAUUUGGUGGUAAAUUCCAUCUAAAGCUAAAUAUUGGUGGGAGACCGAUAGCGUACAAGUACCGUGAGGGAAAGAUGCAAAGAACUUUGAAAAGAGAGUUAAAGAGUACCUGAAAUUGCUGAAACGGAAGCGAAGGAAACCAGUGUUUGUUGGUUCAUAUUUCCCUGUCCACUUGUGGACUGGGCGCUGUGAGCUAGCGUGGGUUUGCUUUGGUUGAUCCCUUUGGAAGAGCGCAGUCAGAGUUGAUGUCUGUUGCUAGC
rnacentral:rRNA from 1 species